rnacentral:rRNA from 1 species
ACCUAAAAUCUAGCCCUCAACUCCCCUAUGUCCCCUUCUACCUAUUUUUCCCCAAACAAAACAUUCUAAUAAUCUAGUAAAGGCGAUAGAAAAAUUUAUUUGAGCUAUACUGCAAGUACCGCAAGGGAAAGAUGAAAUAAAAAUGAAAUAAACAAUUAAGCACAAAAAAGUAGAGCUUCAGCCUUGUACCUUUUGUAUUAUGGUUUAACUAGUCCUUAACAAGCAAAACGAAUUUAAGUUUGACUCCCCGAAACUAGACGAGCUACUUCAAGGCAGCCUAAUGGGCCAACCCGUCUCUGUUGCAAAAGAGUGGGAAGACCUUCAAGUAGAGGUGACAGACCAACCGAGCCUAGAAAUAGCUGGUUACCCGGUAGAAGAAUUUUAGUUCUCCCUAAAGUCAAAUAUUGCCUAAAAACAAACCCUCUAACUUUAGAGGUAUUCAAACAAGGUACAGCUUGUUUGAAACAGGAUACAACCUAGAAUAAUGGGUAAUCUAAUAGCAAAGUACUAAAGUGGGCCCAAAAGCAGCCACCUUCAAAAUAGCGUCAAAGCUUAACUACUCUUUGCCUCCAAUCACUCCAAUUAGUAAAAACCCUUAAUUAACACCGGGUGCUUCUAUACCACUAUAGAAAUCAUUAUGUUAAAACUAGUAACAAGAAGAAACCCUUCUCUUUUAAUGCAAGAGUAAGCCAGAAAGGAUAAACCACUGUCAAUUAACACGCAUGACACCAGAUUAGUAACAUCACAAGAAAACCCUACUGAUAUGAAUGUUAAUCUAACACAAGAGCAUUAUAAGAAAGAUUUUUAAAAAAGGAAGGAACUCAGCAAACAUCAACCUCGCCUGUUUACCAAAAACAUCGCCUCUUGAAUUCGCAUAAGAGGUCCAGCCUGCCCAGUGACCCAGUUUAACGGCCGCGGUAUCCUAACCGUGCGAAGGUAGCGUAAUCACUUGUUCUUUAAAUGAGGACUAGUAUGAACGGCAUCACGAAGGUUGUACUGUCUCCCCUUUUUAAUCAGUGAAACUAAUCUUCCCGUGAAGAAGCGGGAAUACCACAAUAAGACGAGAAGACCCUAUGGAGCUUUAAACUAUUUAACACUUACUGCCACUCUAUCACUUUCAGCAGCCUCACAAAAAACACAGCAUUAUGAUUACAAGUUUUCGAUUGGGGUGAUCACGGAGUAAAAAUCAACCUCCACGCCAAAUGGGCCCAGCCCCUGAACUAUAAGCCACAACUUUAGGUACUAAAAAAUUAUUGCCUCUUGACCCAAUAAUUUGAUCAACGAACCAAGUUACCCUAGGGAUAACAGCGCAAUCCACUUCAAGAGCCCCUAUCGACAAGUGGGUUUACGACCUCGAUGUUGGAUCAGGGUGUCCAAGUGGUGCAGCCGCUACUAAUGGUUCGUUUGUUCAACGAUUAAAACCCU